rnacentral:rRNA from 1 species
AUGUGGGCACGUACGUACGUCUGGUCCGUCGACGGUGGAGGUGCAAGGAACUAUGGCACGGCCGGCACACCGGGAACAGACGGCACCGGCGGCAGUGGCACCUUGGGCACGCCAGGGACGGACGGCAUCGGAGGCAGUGGCACCUUGGGCAGGUCGGGGAUGGACGGCAUAGGCGGCAGCGGCAAGGUAGGCACGCCGGGGACGGACGGCAUAGGCAACGUCGGAACGCGUGGCACCGUGGGAACCGUCGGCACGCUCGGCGCAGUGGGCACUGUCGGCACGACGGCGCCAGGUACCGGCACAGUCGGCACGCCUGGCACGGUGGGAACCGCCGGGAUGGUCGGCAGGGCGGCGCCAGGUACUGGAACCGUCGGCACACCUGGCACGGUGGGCACCGUCGGCACGCCGGGCACGGUGGGAACUGUCGGCACCUUCGGGACGCCUGGCACGGUGGGAACCGUCGGGACGUUCGGCACGGUGGGCACCGUGGGAACGACGCCGCCUGGCAGGGCGGGGACUGUAGGGACGACGGGCACGGGGGGCAGCAUCGGUGUGGGCAAGGCCGGAACGUCGGCGAGGAGGCGCGCGGCAUGGCACGUGCUGAGCAUGACGGCCAUGACGAGCGCCAUGGCCACGAAGCUCGUCGACGUGGAAGCCAUGGGCGCGCGCUCGUGA